rnacentral:tRNA from 1 species
UCCCUGAUAGCUCAGUUGCUAGAGAAUCAGCCUGCAAUGCUGGAGACUCGGGUUCGAUCCCUGGGUUGGGAA